AUGAUGGAGCACACCGCCGUCGGCGAGGAUCAGGCCAUGUCCGACCUUCGCGAUAAGCAUCGGAUGGACCGGGAGAGUUUAACGCUGACAUCACAGCCAUUCAAAACACUCGCAUUAUUUGUGCUAGCCAUUGGACAGAGUAUAAGAAGCACAUGUUCAUGUGUUCUGAAAGAAGGUUCUCGGUUGAAGUUCCUGGUUCCCUUGCUUGGUGCUACCUGUGUGCUUCUCUUGGUAACUGAUGGCCCACAUGAGAAGCAUAUGCAGGAACUGCUUUGGUAUGCCAGAUUUGGAUUAUGGUGGGUCAUACUAGGGGUGGCUUCAUCCAUUGGAUUAGGCUCUGGCUUGCACACGUUUGUAUUGUAUUUAGGGCCUCAUAUUGCCCUUUUCACAAUGAAAGCGGUUCAGUGUGGCCGGGUGGAUUUAAAGAGUGCUCCUUAUGACACUAUUCUUCUUAAAAGGAGGCCUUCAUGGUUGGAGAAAGACUGUCUGGAGUUUGGACCUCCAAUAUAUCAGGAAACAAUCCCAUUCAGCAAAAUACUGCAUGAAGUUCAUCUUGAAGCUGUUCUUUGGGGCAUUGGAACUGCACUUGGAGAGCUUCCUCCAUAUUUUAUCUCUAGAGCAGCUAGCCUAUCAGGCCAAAAAGUAGAAGAGUUGGCAGAGUUGGAUGCUUCUAUCUCAAAAGAAGGUUUUCUAUCAUCAACUCUACAUCGGGCCAAGCGCUGGCUUAUGUCUCACUCACAGUAUCUUAAUUUCCCGACAAUACUGCUACUUGCUUCGGUGCCAAACCCUCUGUUUGAUCUUGCUGGCAUUUUGUGUGGACAAUUUAACGUCCCCUUCUGGAAGUUCUUUCUGGCAACUUUAAUUGGGAAGGCUAUUAUCAAGGUUUAUAUGCAGACAACGUUGGUAAUUACUCUCUGCAACAACCAACUUCUUGAAUUGGUGGAGGAAAGGCUUGUGUGGGUGUUUAGCAAUUUCCCUGGAGUAUCAUCCAUCCUUCCCUCUUUAGUCACCAAGUUGAAGACAGCCAAGGAUAAGUUUUUAAUGGCCAGUGCUGCUGCAUCAGCUUCUAGUGCUGCGAAGGGGAAGAAGUGGAAUCUGUCGUUCUCUUUGAUCUGGAAUACCGUGGUGUGGCUCAUGAUCAUGAAUUUCAUCAUUCAGAUAAUCACUUCCACAGCACAGAGUUAUCUCAAGAAACAACAAGAGCUUGAGAUCAGCAUGAAGUCAUCAGCUACAAUGAGUUCCGCUUCUGAACCUGCUGCCGGAAUAUUAUCAAAUUAA
rnacentral:rRNA from 1 species